AUUUUUUCUUCUCCUUUG
rnacentral:sRNA from 1 species